rnacentral:rRNA from 1 species
UACGAAGGGGGCUAGCGUUGCUCGGAAUCACUGGGCGUAAAGGGUGCGUAGGCGGGUCUUUAAGUCGGGUGUGAAAUCCCUGGGCUCAACCCAGGAAGUGCACUCGAAACUGGCGAGCUUGAGUACUGAAGAGGGUCGCGGAAUUCCCGGUGUAGAGGUGAAAUUCGUAGAUAUCGGGAGGAACACCAGUGGCGAAGGCGGCGACCUGGGCAGAUACUGACACUGAGGUGCGAAAGCGUGGGGAGCAAACAGG